rnacentral:rRNA from 1 species
AUACGGAGGAUGCAAGCGUUAUCCGGAUUUAUUGGGUUUAAAGGGUGCGUAGGCGGAUGAUUAAGCGUGAGGUGAAAUGCCACUGCUCAACAGUGGAACUGCCUCGCGAACUGGUUGUCUUGAAUGCUCCUGCCGUGGGAGGAAUGUGUGGUGUAGCGGUGAAAUGCAUAGAGAUCACACAGAACACCGAUUGCGAAGGCAUCUCACGAAGGGGUGAUUGACGCUGAGGCACGAAAGCGUGGGGAUCAAACAGGAUUAGAUACCCUGGUAGUCCACGCAGUAAACGAUGAUAACUAACCGCUGGGUCGUAGUGAUUCAGUGGCCAAGCGAAAGCGAUAAGUGAUCCACCUGGGGAGUACGACCGCAAGGUUGAAACUCAAAGGAAUUGACGGGG